rnacentral:misc_RNA from 1 species
GGAGAAUAUGUUUUUCUAUCUGGUUUCGGCCCUUUCCUUUCUUCUUCUUGUCUUAAACUUUUGGUUAAGAACAAGCACACAACACAGAAACCUCCCACCAAGCCCGCCUGCUCUUCCAAUUAUAGGUCAUCUCCAUCUGGUCAAUCUUCCCCUCCAUCGAUCUCUCCAUACUCUUUCACAUAAAUAUGGUCCAAUAAUUUCUCUCCGUUUCGGUUCCUGCCGAGUUAUGGUUGUAUCAUCACCGUCCGCGGUGGAAGAAUGCUUCACCACAAAUGACAUCGUUUUCGCCAAUCGUCCUCCCUUUACCUUGAGCAAGUACGUUUCAUACAAAAACACCACCCUUGCAACAGCCUCAUAUGGCGACCACUGGCGCAACCUC